UGUGUCUGAGUACACAAAAUGAACGUUAUCUGAAAAAUAUCUGAACUUGUACUUGUAAAGUAUGAAGUUUAAUUUGCCUCGGCCGAGUAAUUGGAUGGUUCAUUUAUCGCAGUGAUAACCGAAUGAUUUAGCGCAAAUAACCGUCCUGUUAAACAAAUUAAUGACUUUUUACUUUGUCAAAGUUCCGUACCUAAAGCUUUUUCGCAUUACAUUUGAAUAGAAACAUCAAGUCAAGGACUAUACCGUAGGUACUUCUUUAGUUCUAAAGAAUUAAUUUUUGGAAUGCAAAUGCAAAAUUUUGCAUAUAUAAUUGUUUUUGCUGUUCCUACCCCCUGGAUAUCAAUUAAUGGAAUCAAUUGACCUGUAAACACCAUUAUUCGAUUGGGAAAAGAUGGGAUAACCACAGCGAUUUUCCUGCAUUAUGUAAUGUAUCUACUCGUAGUGCAAACAAGAUGUCGGAGGCAAAGCCCAAAGUUUCAAAAUGGCUGAUAUUUUUCAAAAUGAUUAAGUUGUAAUGUAUAUUAAACAUGAAGGCAUUGUUUAUUGUUCACAUUUAUUCUUGCAUUUGCACAAUAAUGUGCACGAUAAACCAUAGUUACAUUUACAAAAUCAAAA